AUCCUGAUUCAGGGAGGCAGUGACAAGAAAUAACAACUUUCAACUUUGUUGAAAAGUGUAAUGAGGAUAAUUUACAAACCUUACCGAAAGCAAUUGGAGGGCAAGUCUGGUGCCAGCAGCCGCGGUAAUUCCAGCUCCAAAGGCGUAUAUUAAAGUUGUUGCAGUUAAAAAGCUCGUAGUUGAAGUUCUGGCUGUAUUGGGCCUUAGCACUUGAUGCGGAGGAACCAGCAGUCAUCCGCUUGCAAAUACAUGUCCUUCCUUAACCGGUAGGCUGUAUAAGUAAGCACUUUACCUUGAGAAAAACAGAGUGUUCCAGGCAGGUUUGUCCGGAAUGCGUUAGCAUGGAAUAAUAGAAUAUGACUGAAGUCGAUUUAUUGGUUUAAGGCUUUAGUAAUGAUUAAUAGGGACAAUCGGGGGCAUUGGUACUUGUCAGUCAGAGGUGAAAUUCUAGGAUUUGACAAAGACUAACUGAUGCGAAAGCGUUUGCCAAGAAUGUUUUCAUUAAUCAAGAACGAAAGUUAGGGGAUCAAAGACGAUCAGAUACCGUCCUAGUCUUAACUAUAAACUAUACCGACUCGGAUUCAGAUGAAUUUUAAAGUUCAUUUGGGACCGUAGGAGAAAUCAAAGUCUUUGGGUUCUGGGGGGAGUAUGGUCGCAAGGCUGAAACUUAAAGGAAUUGACGGUUUUGCACCACCAUGGAGUGGAGCCUGCGGCUUAAUUUGACCCAACACUGGGAAACUCAUCAGGGCAAGAAGAUUUUAGGAUUGACAGAUUGAGAGUUCUUUCUUGAUUGGUCUAGUGGUGGUGCAUGGCCGUUCUUAGUUGGUGGAGUGAUUUGACUGGUUAAUUCCGUUAACGAACGAGACCUUAACCUGCUAACUAGUACUUUGAUUUUCAAUCGGAGUUACUUCUUAGAGGGACUAUGUGAGUAAUCACAUGGAAGUUUGAGGCAAUAACAGGUCUGUGAUGCCCUUAGAUGUCCUGAGCUGCACGCGCGCUACAAUGACACAUUCAGCGAGUAUUUCCUGACCCGAAAGGGCUCGGGUAGUCUUUUCAGUGUGUGUCGUGAUAGGGAUAGAUCUUUGUAAUUAUGGAUCUUGAACGAGGAAUUCCUAGUAAGCGCACGUCAUCAGCGUGUGCUGAUUACGUCCCUGCAAAAUGUACACACCGCCCGUCGCUAUUACCGAUUGGGUGUAUAGGUGAACCUUCUCGAUAGCCGCAAGGCUAGAAAUUAAG
rnacentral:rRNA from 1 species